AGAUGCACACCUUACUUGGACCCCACCAUUUUUGUUGUCAUUUUGUCAUACGCACAUAGACACCUUACUGUAUAUAAAUAGAAAUAAGGACAACAACAAUGAGAGAUUUUCUUUUGGAUCAUCAUCCUUUUGAGCAAAGAAAGGAUGCCAUUUUCUCUUCUUCUUGGAUAAAAUAGCGUGAUUUUUUUUCUGGACAGCAUAUAAAAAAUGGCACGCACACAUACACACAUAGAAUAAAGGGAGAUUAAGAGAGACAGAAAUCGAGAGAAGGAGGGAGAGAGAAUCGAAAAAAAAGGGGGAGGGUUACAGCUCCGGCGAGUUUCGCCUGAGAGCCGUCGGAGUUCGAUCCCGUUCGUUGGAUAUUGUUGCUGCCUGAGUUCUCCGGAUCGCCAUUGACACUACAAUAACAAAUCCGCUCCAAUCUGAACAAACCCAAAUGGAGCAGUAAUUGGGUGCACGAAUUGGUACGGGUCUCUCGUUGUUUCUAGAUUUUUGUUUUAGGUUGACGAAAACAGAGUGCGGGGUGAGAUUCGGGAAUCUGAUUUUGAUAUUCGAGGUCGAGAUCUGAUUUGGAGUUCGUGUUGAGGUUCCGAUGCGGAUUUCAUUUCGUUUAAUUGAAUAACAUUUGAAAGCGGCAUUGAGGUUCAAUUCUUUCUUCUCUUCCUCUUAAUUCUUAUGUGAUUAUGAACUUGAUUUGAUUGCGUGAAUCAUUGGUGAUUAUGAUUGUUGGAUUUUGUUGAUGUUGUGAUCAUGUGCUUGACAAUGUAAUUUCGGCGAUAUGUGGUGCGAAUUUGAGUAUUGUUGAUGGUGUGAUUGAUAAAAAUGAAGCUAGAUGGGGUGAAAUUAACAAAUUGACAAAAUGGGUGAAUAUAGAUCAAUUUUGAUUUAUUGCCAUUUGGUUUAAUUCAGAAUAAGCAUGAAUGUGGUUGAAUCCGAUAGUGCCAUGUUGUAGGUCGAGAAGGAAUAGGCAAGCUGUUGUAGGUCGAGAAGGAAUAGGCAAGCCGUAGGUCGGGUAGGCAAAUCUAGAGAUUGUGGAUUGAUUGAAUGUUUGAGAUGUGUAUUGAGAUGAUUUUGUUUUAUCUUUAUUUGACUCAAUUGUACUCAUUUGGCCAGAGAAUGCCUCGAAGUAUCUGUAUUGUUUUAUUCGGGGAAUGCCUCGAGAAAGUUGUACUUGAAGAUGGUGCACGGUCAAGGUCCGAGGCGUCGGGUAAAGCAACGGAGUUUAGCCUAGGACUAGUUUAGAAUACGAUUUUUAUUUUUGCGUUUUCCUAUUUUGGUUUGUAAUAAUCGGAUUGGACAUUUUGAUUUUGGAUUUGUUUUUUGUUGUUGAUUUGAUUGAUUGUUUUGUGUGUUUUAUGUGGCUUAUACAUUUGUAGUGUUAAAAUUAGCUGAUACUCUCCGCCAAGCGAUCGUGGUCAAACCACGGGAUCGAGGGGUGCCUAACACUUUCUCCUCGGUCAACAGAAUUCCUUAGCCGAAAUCUCUGUU
rnacentral:lncRNA from 1 species